AUGGCCAAGCUUACAUAAAAUAAAUUACCAAGCACAAAAACCACAUCAUCAAGACUGGUACUGAGUCUAAGAAAUAUAGUUUCCCUCUGCUAGUAACCUAUGAUUGUGUGGUUAGCUGGGCUCUUUGCUUCUCUCAAACACGUGUGAAUUCUAACUGCCCACCGUCUACAGACGUCUUCUCUCUGCUUUCUCAUCUGAUCAGUGCUAGUUCAGAGGUUUUAGAGAACAAUCUGGAAAAGUACAGAACCCUCCCCCCAGUUCUGAGAUGCCAGAUGCUCAACCAGUCACUCUGGUGACAUAUUUAUCAUGCCACGCUGCCUUGGCUCUGUGUUCCCACAUGUUAUUGGUCCAGGGAGGGAAAGUCAGUGUAAGCAAUGUCCUAAGAAUUAAGCAUUUGCUCUUCUUUCCUUGAAUGACUUCUCCUAUUCUCAUUCCUUGUCAUCUACCUAUCUUUCUGAUUCCAGAGUAGACUUUAAUCGACAUGGACACCUCCACCAUGUGACCUUCACUCAUGCUCCCAAAGCCCCAGGGGGUUGGUAAGAAGGAACACUCACUAAGCCCAGCAUCCCAGGGACAGAACCAGCACCUACAGGCCCUUGACUUCAGUCAAUCAUCGCCAUGACAACUUAGGUCACAGACCCUAAACGUCAGCAUUUAGAAUCUAGAAUGAGGUGAGGAGAGAAGAGAGAGCUCUACACGUCAUUACAGUCCUUCCCUUUGGGUGUGGCACUUACUGCCUGUGCUGCUAUACAGCCAUAGCCAUUGCUGCCUUUAUGCUAUGUGGAUUCCAUCCUCCUUUUACCCAAGUGCCUUUUCAUUCAUGAGAUCACAAGAAGACACCCAAUCCUUGAGCUCAUGUGCCAGAUUUGGGCAUCUCCACAUCUGGAAGCAGAUGUUUAAAUAGAAUAGUAGCAACCGAAGGAAUGUGGCAGCAAUGCAGAAUUUAUUCAGCCUGUAGAAUCAAGCCUUAAGCUGUGAGGCUCAGAAUCUCCACUUCUGUAAAAUGAAUAAAGCAAUUUAUUCACUUA